AGUUUUAUGUGAGAGAGUUCUGGAGAACUGAUGAGUGUAGAGAUGAAAUUCUUUGAUACCGUUAUAGGAACAGGUAAGGGCGAAAGCGACUCUUUAUGUAAAAACUGACGUUGAAGGACGAAGGCUUAGUACCCCAAACAGGAUUAGAUACCCUAGUAGGCUAAGCAGAAAAUUAUGAGUGUCAUAGAUUAGAAAAAAAAAAUUUUUUUUGUUUAUAAAUGAAAGUGUAAACAUUCCACCUUGAGAGUAAUGNGGCANCGCANAAACCGAAAUCAUUANACCGUUUCUGAAACCAGUAGUGAAGUAUGUUGUUUAAUUUGAUUUUACGCAAAAAACCUUACCACAAUUUGAAUAUUUUAUUAUUAUAAAAAUACGGGCGUUGCACGGCUGUCUUCAGUUAAUGUCGNGAGAUUUUGGUUAAUUCCAUUAAAUUAACGUAAACCCUUACUUUAUUUUUUUAUUAUAAAGUAGUUCACNGCUAUAUUGGAUAUGAUAAUAGGGACUAAGACAAGUCAUCAUGACCUGAAUAUUGUGGGCUAUAGUGGUUAAUUCCAUUAAAUUAACGUAAACCCUUACUUUAUUUUUUUAUUAUAAAGUAGUUCACNGCUAUAUUGGAUAUGAUAAUAGGGACUAAGACAAGUCAUCAUGACCUGAAUAUUGUGGGCUAUAGCG
rnacentral:rRNA from 1 species